rnacentral:sRNA from 3 species
CUGGAUAUUUUUUAAACAACGCAGUUAAAAGUUGCUCGAAAAAGAAUCAACGCCUACAAUUUUUUUUGCUUCUUGCUACACGUCAGUUUACUUACUAGAAGUAAUGGGUAGUAUGUACGCCGGCUAUUUCCUCACUCUGAGGAGA